AGAACGAACGCUGGCGGCAGGCUUAACACAUGCAAGUCGAGCGGGUAGCAAUACCAGCGGCAGACGGGUGAGUAACACGUGGGAACCUUCCUAGAGGUACGGAACAACGCAGGGAAACUUGCGCUAAUACCGUAUGUGCUCUUGCGAGGAAAGAUUUAUCGCCUUUAGACGGGCCCGCGUCGGAUUAGCUAGUUGGUGGGGUAAUGGCCUACCAAGGCAACGAUCCGUAGCUGAUCUGAGAGGAUGAUCAGCCACACUGGAACUGAGACACGGUCCAGACUCCUACGGGAGGCAGCAGUGGGGAAUCUUGGACAAUGGGCGCAAGCCUGAUCCAGCCAUGCCGCGUGAGUGAAGAGGCCUUCGGGUUGUAAAGCUCUUUGUCAGGGACGAUAAUGACGGUACCUGAAGAAUAAGCCCGCAAACUUCGUGCCAGCAGCCG
rnacentral:rRNA from 1 species